CCCUUAGAUGUUCUGGGCCGCACGCGUGCUACACUGAGUGGAUCAGCGGGUCAGGUUGCGCGAAAGUGUUUCCUAAUCUUUAAAUCCGCUCGUGAUGGGGAUUGACGGUUGCAAUUUUCCGUCAUGAACGAGGAAUACCUUGUAAGCGCGGGUCAUCAUCCCGCGCUGAAUACGUCCCUGCCCUUUGUACACACCGCCCGUCGCUCCUACCGAUUGAAUGGUCCGGUGAAGCCUCGGGAUUGUGGCCAGUUCACUUUAUUGGGAGUUGGCUGUGAGAACUUGUCUAAACCUUAUCAUUUAGAGGAAGGUGAAGUCGUAACA
rnacentral:rRNA from 1 species